UCUCUAAACUAAUUCAUAAAUCUUCUAAAUUAUUAGAUCCAUAAAAUGAGCUAGUUAUGGAGAUAAUUAGAUCAUAACCUCCCAUUAAGGUGAAUGAUAAUGCGUCCAUUAUUUUCAAUUGACAUUGCAGGUGCCAUCCAUCUGGUGUUCUCUUAGAAUGAUAGAAUUAUCAUUUAUCAUAUGAUGACUCUGUUGUGCUAUCUGAUGAUGGUUGGAUUGAUCAAGCCAUCCUCAGACCUGAUCAUUCA
rnacentral:lncRNA from 1 species